AGAGUUUGAUCCUGGCUCAGGACGAACGCUGGCGGCGUGCCUAACACAUGCAAGUCGAACGGGGUGAUUCGCUUCGGUGGAUCACUUAGUGGCGAACGGGUGAGUAACGCGUGAGAAACCUGCCUUUCAGUGGGGGACAACAGUUGGAAACGACUGCUAAUACCGCAUAAUGUUAUUUAGGGGCAUCCCUGAAUAACCAAAGCUUUAUGUGCUGAAAGAUGGUCUCGCGUCUGAUUAGCUAGAUGGCGGGGUAACGGCCCACCAUGGCGACGAUCAGUAGCCGGUCUGAGAGGAUGAACGGCCACAUUGGGACUGAGAUACGGCCCAGACUCCUACGGGAGGCAGCAGUGGGGAAUAUUGGGCAAUGGGGGAAACCCUGACCCAGCAACGCCGCGUGAAGGAAGAAGGCCUUCGGGUUGUAAACUUCUUUUAGCAGGGACGAAGAACGUGACGGUACCUGCAGAAAAAGCAACCGGCUAACUACGUGCCAGCAGCCGCGGU
rnacentral:rRNA from 1 species